AUUUUGCAAAACAAAACAAUGGGUUUUGGAUUUUAAGAACCAAAAUUCUUUAUAAUGAAGGGGGUAUAUACAAGUUCACUUCAUUGAAUAAAAAGUAAGUCAAAUUGCAUUGAAGAAGAUGCAAUAAUCGAGUUAUUUUAUUGUCUGUCUUUUCAUUUUAGAUAGUGCCAUAAUGCAGGAAGCAAUUUUCCUUAUAUUAUAUUUCUCUUAACAAAAUAAUUUCAAUGUUUUUAACUACAGAUACUGCCCAUUGUUUUUGUAUGUACUUCUCACCAUCAAAACCAUUAGAAACAACACGACCAAUCAAUGAUGCAAGUGGAAGUUUUGCCAUGUAAUAGUCGACCGCUGACGCCCUUCUCCAUCAAUUGUGUAAGUACGUAUCGAAACAUUCAUAUCGUAGUCAACUAGCUUAAUCUUCAUCUUCUAGGUGUAAAGAGUACUACCAGUCUGCAGUUCUGCAAGAGACGCAAACAAAACAAGAAUACAAUCGCAGGAAGACUCCAAAAAAUGUCCAACCCUGACUGACCGUACUGGCUUAACGGUGCCAAUCAUUCGAAGGCAAAUGAGCUGGCCCGACAAGAAUCCCCAAGAAGCCAAACAGAUUCAGAUCAGUCUCUCGGCAGCUACUGACGAUGUCGGCGAGUUGAAUCCAUCGAUUUUCACACAGAAAAUCAACAUCAAAAAAAUCACGACAAUUCAGCAGCGUCAUGGUCAACCUGCCGAUCAACCAUUCACAGUGAACAACCUCUAUUCGUAGCAGAAGCAAUCUCUGCGUUGUCAACAAUGCUAACACAAUGUCAUCAAGCCGGAGUACCAUCCAGGAUCGAUCAAGUAUCGCAUUCAAUUGUUUGCUAACUAUCAUGUGCCAGACGUUCUGCUUGUGCGUUGUGAAAAGCCACUGAAGCCUGGCACUUCCACUGAAUUGAUCCUCAAGCUAACUAACCCAACGAUGUACCAUAUGACCACAACCAUUAUGAAACUGCCAACCAAGGAAGAAGAACGGCGAAUGAUCGACUUCGAAUAAAAGUUCAACGAAAGGAACCAAAAUUCACCACUUGGAGAAAGUCCAAUAACGUAACAAUCAAAUUGAACUUCACAUCUGAUGAAGGACUGAAACCAGGCGGUGAUGUUACCCUUAGUU